GGGGGACAACAGUUGGAAACGACUGCUAAUACCGCAUAAUGUCUACGGACCAAAGGGGGCUUCGGCUCUCGCCUUUAGAUUGGCCCAAGUGGGAUUAGCUAGUUGGUGAGGUAAUGGCUCACCAAGGCAACGAUCCCUAGCUGGUUUGAGAGGAUGAUCAGCCACACUGGGACUGAGACACGGCCCAGACUCCUACGGGAGGCAGCAGUGGGGAAUAUUGCACAAUGGGCGCAAGCCUGAUGCAGCCAUGCCGCGUGUGUGAAGAAGGCCUUCGGGUUGUAAAGCACUUUCAGUCAGGAGGAAAGGUUAGUAGUUAAU
rnacentral:rRNA from 1 species